UGCCAACAAUCUAGCCCAAACCUUUCUCAUUCUUCCACCUCUUCUUCCCCUACAUAAAAUAAAACAUUCUUUAUCUCUAGUAAAUGCGAUCGAAAAAGAACUUGGAGCUUUAUAAACAGUACCGCAAGGGAAAGAUGAAAUAGAAAUUAAAUAAACACAGAAGCACCAAAAAGCAAAGAUCUCAACUUGUACCUUUUGCAUCAUGGUCUAAUUAGUCUUAACAGGCAAAAAGAUUUUUAGUCUGAUCCCCCGAAACUAAGUGAGCUACUCCGAGGUAACCUUUGAGUAAACCCGUCUCUGUAGCAAAAGAGUGGGACAACCCCCGAGUAGCGGUGACAUACCUAUCGAACUUAGUGAUAGCUGGUUACUCAAGAAACGAAUAUUAGUUCUUCCUAAAGAGACCCAAGCCAAUUUCCUCAAAGCAAUUCAAAUCUCUUUAGAUCUAUUCAAUAAGGGUACAGCCUUAUUGAAAAAGGAUACAACCUAAAGUUCAGGUUAACGACUCUUAAGAAUUCUUGAUAAGUUGGCCUAAGAGCAGCCACCUUUAAAAUAGCGUCAAAGCUUACCCUAAUUCUUUCCUUUAAUCUCCAUCUCACCACAGAACCCGAUCUCAAUAUUGAGUCAUUCUAUAUUUUUAUAGAAGAGUUUAUGUUAGAACUAGUAACACAGAAUUAUUUCUCUCUAUGUAAGUGUAAAUCAGAUCGAAUAACUCACUGAUAUUCAUUCAGCUAUGAAACUAAUGCAGUAACCUCACCAGAAAACCCUGUAAUUUCCCCUGUUAACCUUACACAAGAACAUAAGAAAAAGAUUUAAAGACAAGGAAGGAAUUCGGCAAAUUCAAGUCCCGCCUGUUUACCAAAAACAUCGCCUCUUGGACCUAAUAAGAGGUAAUGCCUGCCCAGUGACCAUGAGUUCAACGGCCGCAGUAUUCUGACCGCGCGAAGGUAGCGUAAUCACUUGUCUUCUAAUUAAAGACUAGUAUGAAUGGCCACACGAGGACUUAACUGUCUCCCUUGCCUAAUCAGUGAAACUGAUCUCCUCGUGCAAAAGCGAGGAUAACUUCAUAAGACGAGAAGACCCUAUGAAGCUUUAAACUAAAUAUCAACUUUUUAACCCUCUAUUCUAAGGAAUUAACACCCAAUUAAUUUUCUUGAUAUUAGUUUUAGGUUGGGGUGACCGUGGAGAAAAAAAAAUCCUCCCUGAUGACUUAUUAACCAAGAGCCACAUCUCUAAGCACUAAGACACUUAACUCCAAUUGACCCACUUUGUGAUCAACGAACCAAGUUACCCUAGGGAUAACAGCGCAAUCCAUUUCAAGAGUUCCUAUCGACAAAUGGGUUUACGACCUCGAU
rnacentral:rRNA from 1 species